CAGUGGCAGACGGGUGCGUAACACGUGAGGAACUUGUCCACUGGUGGGGGAUAGCCGGCCCAACGGCCGGGUAAUACCGCAUACGAUCGUUCGGGGGCAUCCCUGGGCGAUGAAAGCAGCCGCAAGGUUGCGCCGAUGGAGAGUCUCGCGGCCUAUCAGCUAGUUGGCGGGGUAAUGGCCCACCAAGGCGACGACGGGUAGCUGGUCUGAGAGGAUGAUCAGCCACAUUGGGACUGAGACACGGCCCAGACUCCUACGGGAGGCAGCAGUGGGGAAUAUUGCGCAAUGGCCGCAAGGCUGACGCAGCGACGCCGCGUGUGGGAUGACGGCCUUCGGGUUGUAAACCACUGUCGGGAGGGACGAAUACAGGGCCUCGAAUAGGGGACCCUGGGUGACGGU
rnacentral:rRNA from 1 species